rnacentral:rRNA from 1 species
CACGCCGUAAACGAUGAAUACUAAGUGUUGGGGUAAAACUCAGUGCUGCAGUUAACGCAAUAAGUAUUCCGCCUGGGGAGUAUGCGCGCAAGCGUAAAACUCAAAGGAAUUGACGGGGGCCCGCACAAGCGGUGGAGUAUGUGGUUUAAUUCGAGGCAACGCGAAGAACCUUACCAGGUCUUGACAUGGAGCUAAAGGCCCUAGAGAUAGGGAGAUAGUUAUAGCUCACACAGGUGG